GGAGUGUCAUCAGCGGGGCACAUCUGGGGUUUUUCAUCGUGCGUUUUGCGUUGGCCUCAGGUUCACUGCAUGAGGCUGGUGGACACAUGCACUGUGCGCUCCUCCCUAUAAACAUCACUGAGUGUAUCAGAGUGGGAGGAGCUGCUACCCCGUUUUGAACUGAUGAUUUCUCCUUAUCAACAGAUUAAAAAUACCAGAUCUCAUCGCUAAGUGGUUGUGUGGUCCUUGUGGGUGAGGUUGUCCGUUCCAGACAUGCUACAUAAAUUUGGUGCCGUGACCCGGAUGCACUAGAUCCGCUGCAGCUGAUCGCUGGGGUUCAACAACGUAUGAUCACAACGCAGAAAUCGACGGCCGAAGCAUCUUCAUUAUUGACAUUCUGGUAACAGUGUCUGGACAUUAACAGUAAU